AGCGGCGGACGGGUGAGUAACGCGUGGGAACAUACCCUUUGGUACGGAAUAGCCUCGGGAAACUGGGAGUAAUACCGUAUGUGCCCUUCGGGGGAAAGAUUUAUCGCUAUGAGAUUGGCCCGCGCAAGAUUAGCUUGUUGGUAAGGUAAUGGCUUACCAAGGCUCCGAUCUUUAGCUGGUUUGAGAGGACGGCCAGCCACACUGGGACUGAGACACGGCCCAGACUCC
rnacentral:rRNA from 1 species